CAAUAGCGUAUAUUAAAGUUGUUGCGGUUAAAAAGCUCGUAGUUGGAUUUCUGCUGAGGACGACCGGUCCGCCCUCCGGGUGAGCAUCUGGUUCGGCCUUGGCAUCUUCUUGGUGAACGUAUCUGCACUUGACUGUGUGGUGCGGUACCCAGGACUUUUACUUUGAGGAAAUUAGAGUGUUUCAAGCAGGCAUACGCCUUGAAUACAUUAGCAUGGAAUAAUAAGAUAGGACCUCGGUUCUAUUUUGUUGGUUCUAGAGCUGAGGUAAUGAUUAAUAGGGACAAUUGGGGGCAUUCGUAUUGACGAGUCAGAGGUGAAAUUCUUGGAUUUCGUCACGACGAACUACUGCGAAAGCAUUUGCCAAGGAUGUUUUCAUUGAUCAAGAACGAAAGUUAGGGGAUCGAAGAUGAUCAGAUACC
rnacentral:rRNA from 1 species